rnacentral:rRNA from 1 species
GACGAACGCUGGCGGCGUGCUUAACACAUGCAAGUCGAACGGACAGGCCCCUUUGGUGGUACUCUAGUGUCGACCGGGUGAGUAACACGUGCGUAACCUGCCCUUGACUUCGGGAUGACUUCAGCAAACUGGGGCUAAUACCGGAUAGGAAUCCUUUCUGCAUGGUGGGGGUUGGAUAGCUUCGGCGGUUUUUGAUGGACUUGCGGCGUAUCUGCUUGUUGGUGGGGUAGUGGCUUACUAAGGCUUUUACGGGUAGCCGGCCUGAGAGGGCGACCGGCCACAUUGGGACUGAGAUAAGGCCGAGACUCCUACGGGAGGCAGAAGGGGGGAAGAUUGAACGAGGGGCGGAAGCCGGAUGCAGCAACGCCGCGGGCGGGAUGACGGCCUUCGGGUUGAAAACCGCUUUCAGCAGGGGCGAAGCUUGUGGUGACGGUACCUGCAGAAGAAGCACCGGCUAACUACGUG